GUGACUCUUGUGGCCUUGUGUGAGAGUUUUUUCCUAAGGACAUCUGUUUCUGAACUGUCAAUACAUACCAGAUGGACUGCAGAGAACCAGAGAGAGUUUUAAAUGUCUUAUUACCAGAACUUAAAGACCUUUAAGCAGAUGCAUGUAAAAAAAUGAUGGUACUUGACAGUCCAGCUGCCACGAUGCUUUCAAAAAACUGGAUUUCUAUUGGAUUCUUCAAGAUUACAAAGUUACAGCCUUAACAAACAGGUAGGCCAUUGAGAGGAAAAGUCAAUUCUUUAGUCUGUGUUUUCUCUGUUCCUAGUAACCUUUCCUUCUUUUCUCCCCUAGAGUUUACUUUUCUGCAAGUUUGAAAUGACUUAAAGUGCAAAGAUAGAAAAAUUAGAAUACUGUAAGAAUUCAUUUGUUUCCA